AACGAACGCUGGCGGCAGGCUUAACACAUGCAAGUCGAACGCCCCGCAAGGGGAGUGGCAGACGGGUGAGUAACACGUGGGAACGUACCCUUUACUACGGAAUAACGCAGGGAAACUUGUGCUAAUACCGUAUGUGCCCUUCGGGGGAAAGAUUUAUCGGUAAAGGAUCGGCCCGCGUUGGAUUAGCUAGUUGGUGGGGUAAAGCCUACAAGGCGACGAUCCAUAGCUGGUCUGAGAGGAUGAUCAGCCACAUUGGGACUGAGACACGGCCCAAACUCCUACGGGAGGCAGCAGUGGGGAAUAUUGGACAAUGGGCGCAAGCCUGAUCCAGCCAUGCCGCGUGAGUGAUGAAGGCCUUAGGGUUGUAAAAGCUCUUUUCACCGGGAGAAAGAUAAUGACGGUAUCCGGAGAAGAAGCCCCGGCUAACUUCGUGCCAGCAGCCGCGGUAAU
rnacentral:rRNA from 1 species